GCACACCGGGACGCUCACACUCGCCGCGCUCACACUCGAGGCGGGGUGGGGGGACGUGGGGGUCCCGGGGCGACCGGGAGACCGCUUCGUUUCAGGGCCGAAGCUCGCGGCUGUAGGAGAGGAGAGCAGGUGCAGUUUAAUCAGCUUCUCCCAAACUGAUCUGCCUAACAAAGAAAGACCCUUCCUGGGAGGCCAUAGUUAUGUACAGGCAAACACUUUUCUAAAAACAUAACUCCAACAUCCCUCUUUGCCACAGAAGUAUUGAGUUCUAGGGACUGGAAAAAGAAAGCAUCUGAAGACGCCUGUGUGGUUAGGCGACAGCCAGCCGAGUGUUUAGGAUUCUGUCUUCUACGUGAUCUCAGCAAUAGAUACACACAUUCCUUCUCAUCCUCUCGCCUCUAAUACCAUCUGCCAUAGCUACUCGCUUUCACAUAACAGUGACCACGACAGGCAGUUGGAGUCGUCCUAUACAGAGUAUGUAGGGCGGUUGUCACUCUUUGCCCACCUACAGACCCAAGUUAAAAACCCCAGCAUCCAUUCAAUCGGUAGCAUCCUGCUGGCUUGUUACUACUCCCAAAUCCGGACCCGGCCCUCCCCAUCUGCCCUGUAUUCCCUUCAUUCAGUGAUGAACCCGCCUCCAGCUGUGCUCCCAGGUUGUGCUCCUCCGGGCUAGCAGCCACACUACUGUCCAAUUAAGUAGAAAAUCAACUCCAAAUAAAGCGCGUUCCAACCCUAACUCCACCCCUCAAAAACCUCUCCCAGCCUUCAGAAUAAAAUCCGUAUUAUUUAACAAAACAUAUAAAAUCAGUAUAAUCUGACACCAAAGUCCUUUCCCAGCCCCAUUUCCUGCUCCAGGGCCCCACAAGCCCUUGGCAAACCAGCUGCCACUCCUGGUUGUGAAACAACAGAGCCAUCCUCUUGUUUGUUGUUUUAUGCUGAGCAUGGUGCCCUGCACGCAGGUGCUCAAAUAAAUGCUUGUGAAUGAAUAAUCCCUUGCCCUUUUGUUUCUCAUGAAAUAUUUUAGACUCCAUCAGAGUCUUUUAUUAACAUGCGGUGACCGAUACUCGUUGUACAGAAUGCCGAAGAGUUGAAAGAAAAACAUAAGCCACCUGGAAUCUCAGCGGUCGGGAACUGAGGUGCUGAUGUUUUUAUGUAUUUCCUUCUCGUAAUUUUUCUAAAGGGCUGUUUCCAGCCUUCACCGACUCCGUCUCUCUGUGCCAUGUAGCAGUGCCCAUCCGGGUGCCUGGGUGACUUCCCUCUGUCCUGUUCUAUUUCCUGGCUGGCUCCUCUUCUGCGGCCAGCCCCCUAAAGUACGGUGUUUCCAGACAUUCCAUCCUAAACCCUUCUAUUUUCUCAUUCCGCGUGCUUUCUCUUUGAGUGCUCUCACUCAUGCCCACAGCUUCAGAUAUCUCUAUUUGGUAAUAGCUCCAAAGUGUAUAGCUUCUGACGUCUGGGUGAUUUACCUCCUAGAUGUUCCUCGGGUUCAACAAAUCAUGCAUGUCUAAAACUAAACUCAUCACAUCUUUCCCAACAACCUUGUAUAUGUGUCACCUCACUGACCCUCCAGGAAACUGGCAGAGAUCACUGACUCCUGCCUUUCCUGAGCCCCCCCUGGAGCUCCCUGAGGCAUGGGUACUGUUUCCAAUUUUUCAGGCCCUUAGACACAUAAAGCAUAGAAUGAAUUUCACUCAGUUCUUAUGACCUUGAUGACGUAUCACUGCAGACAAAAGUUUAAAUACGCCCCCAAAGUCCACAUGGUAUUGAUAUACACAGUCAGGAAAUAUUUCUCAGCUCUUUGAUGAGAUACAUACAGUCACAAACCUCUGUGGAAAAGGGAUCGAUAUAGCGAAAUGCAACCUUUCUGAAAGUCUCUGAAAAAGUAACCUUUGCCAUACUGAAGAACUCUGACCAAACACCUAGGUCUAAUGCAAAAACCACUGUUCAAGCAAUCUUCUAUAAUGAAACCAGAGUGAUCUCCUGAGUGAGGCAUGUUAAUAUUGCACCGGUGGAAUAGAACCUCCUAAAAGAAGAUCCACCUGCACGCAUUAGGAGUAAUUUCUCUUCAAGGAAGUUAAGUAAGAGCAGUGAUCAGCUGGACACAUAGUGAUUGAUCUCUCCUUUCAAAUGGGUUUUUAAUUUAUUUUUCUACCAAGAAUAGUUUCAUAAAAUAAUCAUUCAAGUAACAGACUUUAUUAAGUGCCCACAAACUUUUCACAGCACUGGGACUACAGCACUGAACCCAAACCAUUGGAAACCUCUGCCUCCCAGGAAGGUGUCUUAGAGUCUAGUAAAUUGGCAUGUUAGUUUCCACUAUAUCAUCCCAGUAUCCCAGCAUCACCUCCACCUAUCAUCACAGCUUUUAGAACUGUAUAUUAGAGUUAAGAACAUGGAAUAUGAUGGCUUACUCACUAAAGUGUUGAGUAUGGUUAGGAUCAAAUCAGUAGCCCAUGAUCCAUCUGUCAAUUGAUGUCCCAAUUUUCUCCACCAUAUCACUGAUCCCACUCUGUCCUGGCCACAGAGGCUCUCCUCCACGGUGUUAUUCAGGGGAUUAUAAAAUCCUAGGAAAUGAGUGUUCCACACUUGCAAGAGCAGUUGGCUCAUACAGACCCAUAGACUACAGUUCUGCGCUCCAGAAAGUAUUAUUGUGAAGUCUACACUGAAUAAAUAUACAGUCAAGUUAGAUUUUAGUUGAGACAGAACGGUAAGGACAUUGAAAAAGCCUUCUAUCAAAGCUCAAGGAUCAGAGCAUCAAAUCGGAGAAAUUCUUGACUAUUACCUCACGUAAUUGUUCAUCCCAUGUUACUGGAAACUCCGAAAUGAGGUUCAUUUUAUUGCAAUUAUUCUCUGAAAAUCAUGAAUUUAAAUUGGGCCAUAUAUUGCCCAUUCCUUCGUAAUAAAUAUUAAUUUUGUCCUGCUAGGGUGUGUGUGUGUAUCUGUGUGUAUAUCGGCGGGGGGGGGGGGGGGGAGAUUUUCUUGUCUAGAAGGAAAGCUUACAAUUUUGAAAACUUCAUAAAUUGUUUUUUGCUAAAACGUCUCUGUUCCAUCCCAAAUAGCUUUGAAAUAUCCAUUACUAUAUCCAAAUGAUAAAGUAGUACUUUCCUUUUUUAAACUCGUAAGGAAAAGGGGUCCAUAACUCUGCCUUGAAGUUCUUUAGAAAGAACUACUAUAAUAGUUUCAAGUGCUAAAAAUAUUUUGAACAAAUGCAUUUCAAAUUUUUAACAUAAAUUCAGCAAACCACAAGAUUCACUGGGUCCGGAUCAUUUGGCGAAUUUUCUGUUAGUUUCCUCUCUUUCUCUGCAAGUUUCUCACAGCCUGUGAAGCUUGAUGCCAGUGUGUUCUCUUUCUCCCCAAACUUCCUAGCGUUGCAAAUGACGCACUUUCACUGUUUGAAAAUGUUUGGAAGUUUGCCAGUCAGAAAGACAGAAGAGUGUCAUAAAACAAAGGAUUGAGAGUAUUUCUAAGUCUCUGACUUCCUUGGGGAAAACAAAAAAAAAAGUCAUCUCCACUAAAUCCAAAAGUACAUGACAAUUCACACCGGCUCCUGGUGCUGCCUCCUUAGCCUCUGAUGUGAGUCGGUGACAUUUCCCGCCCAUGUGUGCCCAGCCCUGCCAUGCCCCCGGUACUGAGAGCUGCCGUGAAGGAAGUAGGAACAAGACAAGCCCUGGCUCUCCCGGACCUUACAUUCCAGUGGGGGUGACGUCAACAGACAAACCAACCAAUAACAUAGUUACAGAUUUGUAUUGGUGUUCUGAGGGAAAUAAGCAAGAGCUCCCCCUGAAAACACUGGCAGAAUCUAGGUGGUCAGGGAAGGUUCCCCUGAGAAAAUGGCUUGAAGGUAUUCGUUUCCUGGGGUUGCCAUUACAAAGGACCAUACACUGGGCAACUUAAAUAACAGCACUGUAUUGUCUCACAGUUAGGAAGCUGGUAGUUCAAGAUCCAGGUGUCACAGGGUCGGUUCCUUGUGAGGCCGACGGAGGGAUUUGCUCCAUGCCUCCUGCCUUCCGGUGCUUUGCCAGGACUCUUGGGCCUUCUUUGGCUUGCAAAUGAUCUCUGAUCUCUGCCUUCAUCUUCGCCAGGUGUUCUCUGGGGAAUGCACCUGAGUCCAAACUUCUUUUUAUCAGGACACCAGUCGUUGGAUUCGGGGCCCACCCUACUCCAGGAUGAUCUCAUCUUCAAUUACAUCGGCAAGGACCUGUUUCCACAUAAGGUCGCAUUUUGAGUACUGAAGGUUAUGACUUCCACAAAUGAAUGGAGUGGCGGACACAAUUCAACACGUAACAGACAACUGGAGAUAAGAGAGAAAACACAACCAACCAUGAGUGGAAAGGCGUUCAGAUUGAAGGAGAGAAAGAAAUACGGAUACCAAGCGACAGAGGCAGUUGUACGCAUUGAUAGAGUGGAACCAGCCACAUGAGAGGUUCGUAAGGAUCAAAGGAGAAAACGUUUGUCACACUGCUUCGCCAACUAAAUCUUACAGAAUAGCAAGUAUUUCACGAGCCCUCUCUGAACAGCCUAGAACAAGACAGCAUCUUCCGCUUCAUAAAUCCCACGGGGACAACUCUCACCGUCUCGGGCGUAUUUUAAGCCUUUUUAAUUAAAUUGAUAUGUCCUUAAGUGUAUCAUGUUGUGCUUAAAAUAGAUAAAGAAAAGAUACAUAGGAGACUUGAGGGCGAGUCGGGGCUGAAAGUGCAAAUACGCUGUGUGAGAUUCAGGGGGCAGUCUGCCUGAGGUGGAGAUAAGGAAGGGAGAUUCUGAAAAGGAAAGCCACAGAGAUAACAGAUCAAGGUCAAGUGGGGAGAGAAACGCACGAUACCUUCUCUCACAUUUAUGUGGCAGUUUUAAUUUAAACACAAUAUAUUUCUCAAAGCACUUCGGCGAAGGGGGUGUGCCUCGGGAACCGUUUCAGUGUAACUGAGUUACCGAAUGCCACGGGGAGCCUUCCCACGGAACCAAGGGAACCUUCGAAUUGGCAUUUAGAG